AUUGAACGCUAGCGGGAUGCUUUACACAUGCAAGUCGAACGAGUGGCGGACGGGUGAGUAAUAUAUCGGAACGGGCCCAGUAGCGGGGGAUAACUGCUAGAAAGCGUGGAUAAUAGCGCAUACUAUUGGCGCAGCCGAUAUCGGAUUAGCUAGGUGGUGGGGUAAAGGCUAACAAAGGCAACAAUCCGUAGCUGGUUUGAGAGGACGACCAGCCACACUGGGAUUGAGACACGGCCCAGCUUCCUCCGGGAGGCAGCAGUGGGGAAUUUUGGACAAUGGGGGAAACCCUGAUCCAGCCCUCCCGCGUGUAUGAGAAGGCCUUCGGGUUGUAAAGUACUUUUGGCAGAGAAGCGGUAUCUGCAGAAUAAGCACCGGCUAACUACGUGCCAGCAGCCGCGGUAAUUC
rnacentral:rRNA from 1 species